rnacentral:rRNA from 1 species
GACGAACGCUGGCGGCGUGCUUAACACAUGCAAGUCGAACGGAAAGGCCCUGCUUUUGUGGUGCUCUCGUGUGGCGAGGGGGGGUGAAACACGUGUGUAACCCCCCCUUGACUUUGGGAUAACUUCAGGAAACGGGGGCUUAUAGGGGAGAGGAGCUCCUGCUGCGUGGUGGUGGUUGGAAAGAUUCGGUGGUGGGGGAUGGACUCGCGGCUUAUCAGCUUGUUGGUGGGGUAGGGGCUUACCGAGGUUUCGACGGGUAGGCGGCCUGAGAGGGUGACGGGCCUCCUUGGGACUGAGAUGCGGCCCCGACUCCUACGGGAGGCAGCAGUGGGGAAUAUUGAACAAUGGGCGGCAGGCUGAUGCAGCACCGCCGCGUGGGGGAUGACGGCCUUCGUGUUGUAUACCGCUUUCGCCUGUGACGAAGCGUGAGUGACGGUAAUGGGUGAAGAAGCACCGGCUAACUACGUG